rnacentral:rRNA from 1 species
GCCUAACACAUGCAAGUCGUGCGAGAUAGUCUUUCCGUCGCAAGACGGGAGGGCGUGUAAAGCGGCGCACGGGUGAGUAAGACGUGGGUAACCUGCCCUUAAGAUCGGGACAACCCCGCGAAAGCGGGGCUAAUACCGGAUAAGACCACAGGGUCUUCGGACCAAGGGGUCAAAGAUGGCCUCUGCAUGCAAGCUAUCGCUUAGGGAGGGGCCCGCGGCCCAUCAGCUAGUUGGUAGGGUAACGGCCUACCAAGGCGAUGACGGGUAGCUGGUCUGAGAGGACGACCAGCCACACUGGAACUGAGACACGGUCCAGACUCCUACGGGAGGCAGCAGUGGGGAAUAUUGGACAAUGGGGGCAACCCUGAUCCAGCAACGCCGCGUGGGUGAUGAAGGCCUUCGGGUCGUAAAGCCCUGUCGGCGGGGACGAAACUGCGGGGUUCGAAUAGGGCCCCGCACUGACGGUACCUGCAAAGGAAGCACCGGCUAACUCCGUGCCAGCAGCCGCAGUAA